GUGUAGGCCAGCGGCUACAGCUCCAAUUUGACCCCUAGCCUGGGAUCCUCCAUAUGCCUCGGGAGUAGCCCAAGAAAUGGCAAAAAGACAAAAAAAAAAAAAGAAUAUUCUAAGAGGAGGAACUGUCAACCCAUAUAUUGAGGCUGUGAUCCUUGUUGAACAGGUUUUGUCAUCUGAUGCUGAUAACAUUUAGAAACUUCAAUUGCCUUUUGGAUGUAAUGUGUCCCAAAAAUGUAGUUCUCUUGGUUCUAUGAUUAUAGAAUAUGUCAGUUCUAAUGAGUUAUUCCAGGGCAAAAAUAAGUCCUCUUCUGUUAAGCAUUUUCUCCUAAAUCAGUUUGGAAACAUUUUAGGAGUUCUUCUAAAACCCAAGCGGAAAAUAUUGGCUUCCUCCCUGAUUAAAACCAUUCCAUCCAUUACCAAACAAUGAUCAGAAGGUCUUAAAUGUAGCCCCUGUGGACCCUUCAGAAAACAUCUUGAAACAGCAUGGUAAAUAGAUUCAGAAAAGGUGUGUGGUUUGGUGAAAGAACUAUUAAAACUUACUUUCUGUUCCCAGGGCUGCUGUCACGUGAUGCAGGAGAAUUUAGAUAACAUCUCCUGCUAUAAAAUGGAGGAAAAGAAUAUCUCACCAGAUAAUGGGAUUCCAGGUGUCACUGGAAGGAAGAACUGUAGCCACCUUGUUAGUAGCGUGUCACGUUCCCAGUGAGAGUCUGUGGAAGCCUGAAGGAACAGUCCGAGAGGAUGUCAUUGUCGUGGUUUGAAGCUCUAUUUAGGUCAUCCUAUGAAAAGCCAUGGCUAAAAUGUGGCACUGCUUGCAGAAUGACUGAUUUGGAGGCUUUUGGUAGAAGCUGUUUUAUCAUCUUGGCAAAAUGGGAAAAUAUCUGCAAGUCAGGGCAAGGGGACUUGUACAAGGCCAUGAACAGGAAGUGACCUUAAGGUACUGUCUUCCAUCUCUAUGUUUUAUCUACCAGACUCAACAGAAGAAUAAAAUGUGCUUGUAAAAUAUAA